CCACAUUCAGAGGAAGUUCCGUGUGAAACGGCUAUCUUUUCCGUACGGAGACGGUCUGUCUCUCCUCAGUAGUUGCUGCGUUGCUGCGGCAGGCAGUGCAGUAAUAGAUUUUAUUGCAAUAUUCAUUUCUGGCAGGAAAAUCCGACGGACGUGAGUGACAUUGACACCAAGCAAGCACGGUGCGGUCAAAGUGAGGUUCCGUUCAGGAAACUUAUUUGCGGAAGCAUUUCUGGCGCAGUUCGCAUGAUUUCACGGAAUGUGGGUACCUACCGCUUUCAGUUGAGAACACUUCGUGACAAACUGAGCUUGUGGACCACGGUGUGCUUUGCAUGUAUUAUUCAUAAGCUUUAAGUUCCGGUGCAGGCAGUCCCGCCUUCGGAGCGACGUGACCCUGGCAGGGCCGACCGAUCCGACUCUGUGGCACUGGGAUGGAACCAGCAGUAGUUGAGCCGACGCUGGCCAGCGAGCUAGUCGACGAACUGAGCGUCAUCGAUGGCGGUUUGAUUCCCGAAGGUUUCGGAAUUGAUCUGGCAAUUUUCGACGGCGCAAUGGUUGAACUUUUCGGCUCAGAGGUGCCGUUUGAACCAUUCGGUUCCGCACCGUUAGCACCAUCAGGAUCACUCAUAUUUUUUAAACUUUAACUAAGAACUUUUAGAUUUGUAACACACACUAACACACAACACUCACUGAAAUGGCAAUAAAAUGAUUUUUUCGCUUA